AAUAUCCUCUGGUGAGGAUGAAAAAAAAAAUGUUUCAUGAGUUUAUUUGAGCCAAAGUGACAACUGCUGGGAAGCAAACUCUCAACAGACUGAGGAAAUGCUCCAGAGAAGGACAGCUUUGCACCGUAUUUCAUACAUUACAAUCAAAAGAGAAGACGAUGGAAGAAUGGGGCACAUUUGCCUGGAACAAGGGGACCUGUGGAUGCAGGGGCACAGGGAGCAGUGCAAAGAGCCAACUCCCGGGCAAUGGGGGCCCUGAGGGUCAGCAGGCUGUGAAACCCCCCACAAGGCUCCGGAGGCUGAGGUGGAGGCCGGAGGCCCAGGCGAUGGGAACACAGUGGACACAGCCUUUGUUUCCAUAGCUGGUGCCUGCACAGGGCCGGGAACGGAACGUGGACGGCGGUAUGGAAAGGCCACCUCAGCCGCACUGUGCACAGCCAGAGGCGGGAGCCUGGCCGUCCGCACAGCAAUGCUCCUGGCCUUGAGAAGGAAGGAAACCUUGCCGCAGGCUCCAGGGUGGAUGGACAGGGGACACUGUGCCAAGUGAAAUCAUCGAGACACAAAAGACACACACUGUAUGAUUCCACUUACACGAGACACCUCGACAGUCAAGUGAACUUGGGGAAACUGAGGCUACCCUAUGGCCUCACGGCCUCACAUUGGAUCAGAAUCUGUCUCCUGACCGCUCUUCAAGGGGCUCUGGCCUAUGAGGAGGAAUCAUGUU